CAGACUCCUGUCUUACCUCGGAUUUCGGUGCUGUCAGUCUGAAAAACAGACGUCCAUUUGGUACUCUAGACGGACUGUCCUUCCCUGAUCUAAAGCUGGGCCAUUUGGAGAUUUGGAGAACAAAGGUUGUCGGCUGUGAUUGUAGCAGAGUCCUGAGCUCCUGUGGAGAUUUGCCUCUCUCCAGCCUUGGGCUAUCUGCAUUCUUGAACAGCUCAGGACCCAGAAGGAAAAGAAGAAUGCUGACCUGCUCUGGGGAUGGCCUGAAUGAAGAGAGGAGACUGGAAAACACUUGACAGAGGUAAUAUGGACCCAGAGAGAACUGAAUCCUUGUGCCCAGUGACUAGAAGAUGCAUGAACCUGGAAAAAGGAGCCUAGAAGAUCGCCAUGUUUCCCCCACAUAGGAGAACACUCACCCCUUCCCGCCCCUCGCCCGUAACACAUGAAACAUUUAGCAGUGAUCGAUCACUACUGAGGUAUCUUCAUUUAAUGUGGUUUUGACGGAACAGUUGGUCUGGAAAUUUUAUUUUCAAUUAAACUUCCUUGUUGAACUGCUUUGGUUGUGAAAGGAUUCCAUUAGGAUGGGUAAUUAUAUAGCAGUUGCUACAAGGAGAUAUUUGCAGUCAGUUUCCGCUCUUAGGUGAUUCAAAUCAAAUGCUUUUUCUUUUCCUCCCUGGAGCUGUGUGCGACCCUCUUCCUCAUACUAUAGGCUUCUCAUGAGUUAUUUUGGGAAAUCCAAAUCGAAACAGCAAUUUUGGC
rnacentral:lncRNA from 1 species